rnacentral:lncRNA from 1 species
CAAUGUUUGUGUUGGUAACGGCAGUGGUUCUACUUCUAGAGAAGAAACGAAUCGUGGAGAAACAUAUACUGAUGAUGAUUAUGAUGAUGCCAAUGAAGAAGAAGAUGAUGAUGAUGAUGACGAUGAUGGGGGUGAUGAAGAUGAAGAUGAAGAAAAUCAAGUUGUGCCAUGGUCAUCGACACCGCCGCCUCAAGUUUCAAGCUCUUCAACAAGUGAUCAAGAAUUUGCAAGUAAGUUUUGCAAUGGUGGAGAGGGCACUUAUUCUGAAU